rnacentral:rRNA from 1 species
GAUGAACGCUGGCGGCGUGCCUAAUACAUGCAAGUCGAGCGCACAGACGAGGAGCUUGCUCCUCUGACGUUUGCGGCGCACGGGAGAGUAACACGUGGAUAACCCACCUAUACGACUGGGAUCAAUUCGGGAAACCGGAGCUUAUACCGGAUAAUAUAUUGAACCGCAAGGUUCAAUAGUGAAAGACGGUUUUGCUGUCACUUAUAGAUGCAUCCGGGGCGCAUUAGCUAGUUGGGAAGUAAACGGCUAACCAAGGCAACGAGUCGUAGCCGACCUGAGAGGGGGAUCGGCCACACUGGAACUGGACCACGGUCCAGACUCCUACGGGGGGAAGCAGUAGGGAAUCUUCCGCAAUGGGCGAAAGCCGGACGGAGCAACGCGGCGUGAGUGAUGAAGGUCUUCGGAUCGUAAAACUCUUUUAUUAGGGAGGAACAAAGUGGUAAGUAACUAUUCACGUCGUGACGGUACCUAAUCAGAAAGCCACGGCUAACUACGUG